GAUGAACGCUGGCGGCGUGCCUAAUACAUGCAAGUCGAGCGAACAGACGAGGAGCUUGCUCCUCUGACGUUAGCGGCGGACGGGUGAGUAACACGUGGAUAACCUACCUAUAAUACUGGGAUAACUUCGGGAAACCGGAGCUAAUACCGGAUAAUAUAUUGAACCGCAUGGUUCAAUAGUGAAAGACGGUUUUGCUGUCACUUAUAGAUGGAUCCGCGCCGCAUUAGAUAGUUGGUAAGGUAACGGCUUACUAAGGCAACGAUGCGUAGCCGACCUGAGAGGCGGAUAGGCCACAUGGGAACUGAGACACGGUCAAGACGACUAAGGGAGGGAGCAGUAGGGAAUCGGAGGCAAUGGGCGAAAGCCUGACGGAGCAACGGCGCGCGAGUGAUGAAGGCCUUCGGAGCGGAAAACUCGGUUAUGAGGGAAGAACAGAUGUGGAAGGAAAUGUGCACGUCUUGACGGUACCUAAUAAGAAAGCCACGGCUAACUACGUG
rnacentral:rRNA from 1 species